CAUGUGGUUGCUGGAAAUUGAACUCAGGACCUCUGGAAGAGCAGCCAGUGCUCUUAACCUUUGAGCCAUCUUUCUAACACCAAUUGUUCAUCUUUUUAAGUUUGCCUUUAGUGACCCCCACCCCCCCAGUCAUUCCAGCUUUACAUUUACUUGCUUUAAGAUAUAAAAUUCUGACAGGUGUGGUGACUCACACUUUUAAUGACAGCACUUGGGAAGCAGAAUAGGUGGAACAUAGUUGGUUCUAGAAAGCCAGGCUAUGUAGAAAGACCCUGUCUCAAAAAAGUAUAAAAUGUCUUUAUGCACUUAGGAAAUUUGGCAUUUUCAGAAGAGUCUACUGUACAUGUCCUAAAAUUUGUGGCCAGUAAACUUAACCUCUACAGCAUUUUUUGAAGUAGUUAUUUUGAUUAUUUCCAUAUUCGUUUUCAGGAAGGAAAAAAAUAAGUUCCCAAAAGCCAGGGGUUUUAUCUGUUGUCUUGGUUACUGACAAGCUGAGGCUGGGUUGUUUGAGUCCAGGCUCCAAGGCUAAUCUAGGCAAGAUAAUAAAAUCCUGUUUCUUUAAAAUAAAGUUAAACCCAGCUGACAUACUUCUUGUCUCUGGGUCUUUGCUGUGCCUUCUCUUUGUAGACCUUUCAGAUUCCUUAUUUUUGUACACUAUAGUUCUGUCCUCUAAAUAAGACAAUAGUUACCUAUUUAAGGACUGAGCCUAGAGCCUCUUGCAUAAAUGCUGAACUGCUUAGCUGGAAUCCUGGCUACUCUUUCAGUUUUUGCUUUUUGAGAUUGAGAAGAGGUUGCUUAGACUGGCCUUGACUUUGCAACUCUCCUUCCUCAGCUUGUAACAUGGCUGGGGUACUACACACCUGCAUUACCAGGGACCAGAUUUUUUUUUUAAACUGAUAGUUGAUUGAAAAAUAUAUUCUAACGAGUAGGCUGUUAGAUACAAAUAUGUUAAGAAUGUAUGAGACAGCUGGGCAUGGUGGUGCAUGAUUGAGUUUAAGACCAUCCUGGACUACAGAGUGAGAUCCAGGACAGCCAGGCUACACAGAGAAACGCUAUCUCAACAACUAAAGACAACAACCACAAGAGAAUAUAUGAGACAAAAAUGAUGUGUGAAGUAAUCUGUUUUCUGAAAAGCCAAGAAAUAACUAGAAUAGUAGCAAAGGUAAGAGGCUGGUAUCUUAACCUCUUGGAGCUUCUAGCCCAGUCCCUUUUUAUAUCUUACUUUGACACAAGGUCUCAUUAAGUUGCCUAGGCUAGCCUAAAACUCACUCCAUAACCCAUGCAGAUCUUGAAUUUGGAACCCUGCCUUACCCUCUAAAGUAGGUAGAACUUCGGGCCUGUGCCACCAGACCUGGCUUCUCUCUGAGGAAAGGUUUAUAAUCUGUAAACCAGAAAUAUGGAAGCUGGAUAACUUUUGAAAUUAAGAGCUUUUCAUAUGUUCUGAAAGAGCAUAAACGAGUGUAUGGCAUGCCAUGUUUCUUGACAUCCCAGCAGGGGGCCUGAAGUAAUGUACCUACAGCCAAAUAUAACAUUUAAUUUAAAAAAAAAAUUGUGUGUGUGUGUGUGAGUAAGAGACAAGGGAUGUGUAUGUACAGAAGCCAGAGGUAGAAAUUAGAUGUCUUCCUCAAUUGCUUUCCACUUUAGGUUUUGAAAUAAUCUUUGACUGAACCUAGAUGUAUUAGUUAGGGUUCUCUAGAGUCACAGAACUUAUGGGUAGUCUCUAUAUAGUAAGGGAAUUUGUUGAUGACUUACAGUCUCAGUCCAACUCCCCAACAAUGGUCAGCAGUAGCUGUGAAUGGAAGUCCAAGGAUCUAGCAGUUUUUCAGUCCCACAAGGCAAGCAGGAGAAGAAGAGAGAGUAAAUCUUCCUUCUUCCAAUGUCCUUAUGUAGGUUCCAGCAGAUGGUAUGGCCCAGAUUUAAGGUGUGUGCCAAGGUCCAGAUGAUCUUGAACUCAGAGAUCUCCCUGUCUUAAUCUGGGAUUCAUAGCCACUGUGCCCCAAGAUCUCCGUGCCAAGAUCUAGGUCAGAAACUUGUACCUUCCAGAUUAGGAUCAAAGGUGAGCCUUCCAGGAAUAGCCACUACACUAGAGCUUGCCAAUUUGACUAAAUUGGUUGGCCAGGUAAUCCUCCUAUCUCCACCAUCCAACAUUAGGAUAGCAGGUGUACAGCACCUACCUUUGUACACCUUUAUAGGUGCUGGAGAUCUGAGCUCAGUUUCUCAUGCUUGCAUAGCAAGUGCUUUAUAACAAAGCCAUUUCUCAAGCCCUUCCUUUUUUUGUUUUCUUUGUUUUUUUUUUUAGUAAGUGGUGUUUUGCCUGCACUGUGCACUACAUGUAUGAAGUGCCUUCUGAGUCCAGAAGAGGGCAUCAGAUCCUUUGGAAUUGGAGUUUAAGGUGGAGCUACUGUGUGGGUAUUAAGUUAGUUAGGUGUGUGGGUGCUGAGAUAGAUGACCUGAACCUGGGUCCUCUGGAAUACUGGCCAGCUCUCUUAGUGGAUGAGCCCUCACUUCAGUCCUUGCACCUCUCUAUCUUUGAUUCAUUGUUUAAUACUUUAAUAGUUACAGAAAAACAAAACAGCAAAGACUUUCAGACUUGGGAGAGCCAUUAUAGAGAAUGUUGUGACAACUGAGUUUUAGGUCAGUUAAGACAGAUUGGGGGGAGGGGAAAUAAGUUUGUUGCCAAACUUAAUGGAUGAUCUUAGUUUUAAGAGCUUUUCACACUUUGGUAUUGCAAAUGAAGAACUAUGUACCGAGUUUUGUUGUGGUUGUUGUUAAGACAGGGUUCUCUGUGUAGCCUUGUCUGCUCUGGAACCCCUCUGUAGACCAGGCUAGCCUCAAACUCAGAGAUUUGCUUGCCUCUGCCUCCCAAGUGCUAGAAUUAAAGGCCUGUGCCACCACUGCCUGACUAUGAAUUUGAGUUUUUAUUUUUAAUAGUAUGUACCUGAGGAAAUUAUGGGAGCAUCUGUGUCACAGCACAUAUGUGGCCAUCAGAGGACAAUUUAGGAGUCUGCUCACUUGUUUACUUUGGGAUUCAGAGAUUGAAUUCAGGUGUCUGGCUUUCAUGGCAAGCACUUUUAUACACACACACACACACACACACACACACACACACACACACAGAGAGAGAGAGAGAGACAGAGAGAGACAGACACUGAGACCCCCAACAACAAAAACAAAAAAUAAGAGAAACAUUAAAUCUACAAGAAAUGGGUUGGUCUUAGUUACAUUGUUUUGGCAGUACUUUGGACCAAACUCAGGACCUCCUGCCUAGUAGGAAAGAGCACUGACUAAGUUGUACCUCUGGUCCAUAGGUCAAAUAGUUUAGUUAGAGCAUAAAAACUCUUUGCUGUGUCAGGUCCUUCAAUAAAUGCUAUAUCAUAAGAAUUACUGUUUUACCAAUCUAGUUCUAUGACUAGGUGUACAAGAGCAAUUCACAUAGUUCUAAGAAUCAGAAUCCAAACUUCUGAUCAUACUAACCUACACCACCCCAAGUGCUGGGAUUACCUGCAUAUACCACCAUACCCAAUUUCAUCUAAUGUGUCUGGGCUUCGUACAUGCUAGGCAAGACCUCCACCAAAUUAGUUACAUCCCCGCCCCUAUUUGUUUCUUAAGUGCACGAAUUUUAUGGAAGAUUCUUUAGGCCAGUAGUCCCUUAGGCACUUGUGUACAACUCUAGGGCUGUACUGACAUUUUCUAACACAUUUGUCCAAUAUUUUUAGAUCCAUAGGGCUUUUUUUUUUUUAAGAUUUAUUUAUUAUAUGUAAGUACACUGUAGCUCUUCAGACACUCCAGAAGAGGGAGUCAGAUCUUGUUACAGAUGGUUGUGAGCCACCAUGUGGUUGCUGGGAUUUGAACUCUGGACCUUCGGAAGAACAGUUGGGUGCUCUUACCCACUGAGCAUCUCACCAGCCCUAGAUCCAUAGGGCUUUCUUUUGAGCUAGAUGAGCACACCUAUAAAUUCUAGCACUUGAUAAUCAGGGGAAGGAGGAGGGCCACAAGUUUGGGACCCUGAGACCCUGCCUAACUAUCCCUUUCCCUAAAACAACAAAAAACAAAAACCUUUCUUUUGAAAGUUAUUUCCUAAUUUCAAGUCUUUCAGACUUGUUGAAUGAAAUAUUUUGGGGGUUUUGGUUUAUUUUUCUUUUGAAUGAAAUAUUGAUUGACUCCUUAACACUCAGAAACUUUUUUUCUUUUCAGACAGGGUCCCACAUAGUCUAGGCUGGCCUCAAAUUUGCUGUGUCAAGGAUGACCUUGAGUCCCCGACCCUUCUGCCUCUCUCCAGUUAGCAAUUUUCUCAGUUUAACAAAGUAUUCAGUGGCUCUCUUCCUGAGUGACGCAGUCUAGACUCCUCAAAGAAAAAGAUCCCUCAAAUAAUGAUGCCAUAUGACCAUUUGAAUGCUCUUUGAGACUCCUGAGAUUUGUACUUGGCUCUUUGUGGCCUUAUCCUGAGUCCCUUGGUGUUUCCGGGCAAGCUGGUGCAGGGUGGGGCCUGGAGCUCUAUGCUACCAUACCAAGUCAGCCUAUGUUGUGAUUUCAAAGGAUUGGUUUAUCUCAGAAAAAGGAUGGUCAUCUCUUUGACUGCUAAUCAUUUUCACCUGUGUAAACUGCUGAGGGGACUGGAUUUAGAAUGUGAGAUCACUGAAUAAAAUAUUUUGAUUUUGAAAGAAAGAAAAUUAAAUUCAAGGCCCAUGAUUCAUACGGCUCAUGACUAGUCAGAAGGUUUACAGACCUAAGGCAGAGAGCAUAGCAGAACAGGCCUGGGCAUGACCAGACAGGCCAGCACAAAGGCUGUUAAGUCAUUCCAGGAACUAACUGGCCAUAAACAUAAGAGAGGCAUGCAAGGACAAUCUCCAGACAAGCCCAGUUAAGUAAUGGGCCACCUGGUCUGGUCUCCUUCUGAUAUAGUUUGAGUUUAACCAGAUGCUCUGCCCAUAAAGAUAAGCACCCUCCCUUUAGAGUUGCUGUUGUCUCGACCUGCAUGUACUGCUUGCUGAUGUUUAAACUGUCCAAUUGUGUAACCGCGCCAAUUUCCCCUAUCCCCCGACUUUUUUUCUAUAUAAACCCCUAAUUUUUGAGCCUCGGGGUCAAUUCCUCUGUCUCUUGUGUGAGACACAUGUUGGCCUGGAGCUCCGUCAUUAAACUACCUCAUGUGUUUGCAUCAAGAUGGUCUGGUUUUUCAUGUUUCCUUGAGUGAGCGCCAUCCCGAGUCUUGAGUGGGGGUCUCCCCACAGGGGUCUUUCAUGUGGGGGCUCGUUCGGGAUUUGCGUGACACCCAGGAACCCCGAAGACCCCCUUGGAGGUAUGUCUGUGUGAGUCUUACAUGUUGUCUGAGUGCAGUGCCACUGGGUUUGUGUCUGGUUUCAGUUUUCUGGCAGCUGCCGCUGUGGGCCAUGAGGACCCAGUGGCUGCGGAAGGAGACGUCCUAGGGCUGCAGGCUGCAAACCUGGCCAAGGGUGGAAGGAAGUCAGGAGAGCCUGACUGUUAUCUUUCAGAACAAAGGAGACUGAGUACUCCUUCUACUGGGAAAUGAGUGGAAGCGGAAUCCCACCCCGUCAGAGGUCGCGUUUGGCUGGUUGUUUAAGUCCAGAUGCGGGCAAGUGUGUUUGGAUGUGCUAGUGUCUUUUGUCCUUGUUUUGUUCUUGUUUUUUCUGAUUUUUGUCAUGGGACAGACUGUGUCAACCCCUUUGUCUUUAACUGAGGACCAUUGGGCGGACAUUAGGGCGAGAGGACAAAAUUUAUCAGUAAUAGUUAAGAAGAAAACCUGGUAGACUUUCUGUACCUCAGAAUGGCCUGCCUUUGGGGUACGCUGGCCGCCCAAGGGAACUUUUGAUUUACCCCCCAACCAGGGCCGUGAGGACUGUUGUUUUUUCAGGAAGGAUCGGGAUCACACCCAGACCAACAGCCAUACAUCACAGUGUGGGAGGAUUUGGCACAAUCCCCACCCCAGUGGGUCCGACCAUUCCUCCUACCCCAUUGUCCCGGCUCCAGGAUCCUGCCUGUCCAAGAGAGUGCUGUGAAGAGAAGCCGAAGCCGAAGCCACAGCCUAAAGAAGAUGGCGAGCACAGCACUCCACCGGCACCCACCUCUAAGAUCUACCCUGAAAUAGAAGAACCCCCUGAGUGGCCUAUUCCUCUGCCCUCACCUUAUCCUCGAGCUCCCCAACCUGUAUCCCAACCCUCUGCUCCUCCAUCCCCUCUUCUGGCCCUGGUCCCUGGGACCGGAGGAAGAGGAGGUCCCUCAACAGGGACGAGGAGCUGAUGGGGAGCCACCCCUGAAGGACCGGCCGACUCCACUGUAGCACUUCCCCUUAGGGCUGUUGGGCCACCCCCAGCCGAUCAGAAUGACUUACAACUUUUACAUUAUUGGCCCUUUUCUUCCUCUGAUCUUUAUAACUGGAAGAUUAAUCACCCUCACUUUUCAGAAAACCCUGCAGGGCUUACAGGCUUGAUAGAGUUCCUGAUGUACUCUCAUCAGCCUACUUGGGAUGACUGUCAACAGCUUUUACAGACCUUGUUCACCACUGAGAAGAGAAAGAGAAUUCUCAAAGCUCAGAAGAAUGUCCGGGAUGAUGCCGACACCCUGUCCAGACCCCGGCCGAGAUAGAUGAAGGAUUCCUCUUGACCCACCCUCAGUGGGAUCAUAACACGGCAUGAGGUAGGGAACAGUUAUCUAAUUACCGGCGGGCUCUAGUGGCGGGUCUCAGAGGUGCCAUACAAAGGCCCACAAAUUUGGCUAAGGUAAGAGAGGUUAUACAGGGGACGACUGACUCCCCCUCAGUCUUUCUUGAAUGACUCAUGGAGGCUUACAGAAGGUACAUCCCUUUUGACCCUAUGUCUGAAGGGCAGCGAGCUUCUGAAAUUAUGGCUUUUAUCAGACAGUCAGCCCCCGACAUCAAAAGGAAAUUGCAACGGGUUGAGGGAUUACAAGAUUAUACUAUAAGGGAUGUGGUUAAAGAGGCUGAGAAAGUAUAUCAUAAGAGAGAGACAGAGGAUGAGAAACAAGAAAGAGAAAAGAGAGAGAAGAGAGAGGAUGAAGACAGGAGAGACAGGAAAAGACUCUUGACUCGAAUACUGGCCACAGUAGUAGAUAGAGAUAAAAGAGACAGGACUAGGCAGUCAGGGGACCUGGGAGAUGAGAAACGGCAGGGGCCAAGGAGACCCAGAAGAGAUAGACCACCCCUGGAAAAAGAUCAAUGUGCACACUGCAAAGACAAAGGUCACUGGGCUCUCGAGUGCCCCAAGAAGACACAGGGAGCAAAAGUACUGUCCCUUGAAGAUGAUGAAGACUAGAGGAGACAGAGCUCAGCUCCCCUCCCCGAGCCUAGGAUAACAUUAAAAGUGAAGGGGACCCCUAUAAGUUUCUUGGUCAAUACGGGUGCAGAAUAUUCAGUACUCAAAACACCUUUGGGUAAGAAAAAAAACAAAAAGAUGCUAGUGAUUGGGGCCAUGGGGUAGAAACCAUACCCAUGGACCACUUCCCGGACAGUGGACCUAGGAAAGAGCUAAUUCACUCAUUUUUUUGGUCAUUCUGGAGUGCCCUAUGCCUUUACUGGGAAGAGACUUAUUGACCAAAUUAAAGGCACAAAUAACAUUUGCCCCCUCUGGACCAGAAUUGUCCUGGGGGAUUGAGACACCUCAGACCUUAGUGUUGUCUUUACAAUUAGGAGAAGAGUAUCAGAUUUAUCAAAAUGAAAUGAAAACCCCUGAGGGACUACAGGACUGGCUUACUCGAUUUCCUCAGACAUGGGCCAAAACGGGGAAUGGGAAUGGCCAGAUUAGUUCCCCCCCGUGGUAAUUGAACUUAAGUCUGGGGCCACUCCCAUUGGGGUCUGACAGUACUCCAUGGGCAGAGAAGUGCAGGAGGGCAUACGCCCCCAUAUCACCAGACUGCUCCAACAGGGGACCCUAGUCCCAUGUAAGUCUCCUUGGAAUACCCCCCUACUCCCGGUAAAGAAACUGGGGACGAAUGACUAUCGCCCUGUACAGGACCUUAGAGAGGUCAAUAAAAGAGUUCAAGAUAUCCACCCAACAGUGCCCAAUCCUUACAACCUGCUCAGCACGCUGCCACCCGAACGAACCUGGUAUACAAUCUUAGAUCUUAAAGACGCUUUCUUUUGCCUGAAACUACACCCCAACAGCCAGCCCUUGUUUGCCUUUGAAUGGCAAGACCUAGAGAACAGAAGAUCCGGGCAGCUCACAUGGAUGAGACUGCCUCAGGGAUUUAAGAAUUCACCCACCUUGUUUGAUGAAGCUCUACAUCGAGAUCUUGCCUCCUUUCAGGCCAACAAUCCCCAGGUGACUUUCUUACAAUAUGUAGAUGACCUUUUGGUGGCCACAGAAACACGUGAAGAGUGUGAACUCAGGACUCAGAAAAUUCUGGCCGAGUUAGGUGAGUUGGGGUACCGGGCUUCGGCUAAGAAGGCACAGUUAUGCCGGACUGAGGUGACCUACCUGGGAUAUACCCUGAAGAAUGGGCAACGAUGGCUCACAGAAGCUAGGAAGUGGACAGUGACACAGAUCUUGACCCCAACCACCCCUCACCAGGUAAGAGAAUUCCUGGGGACUACGGGAUUCUGUAGACUCUGGAUCCCAGGGUUCACUACUUUAGCAGCCCCAUUAUACCCCUUAACAAAAGAAAAACGAAAGUUCAUUUGGGCUAAGGAAUAUCAAUUGGCUUUUGAAACUCUCAAAAAGGCACUGCUACAGGCCCCUGCCCUAGCACUGCCUGAUUUAAACAAGCCUUUCACCCUAUACAUCGAUGAGAGAAAUGGAGUAGCCUGAGGUGGGGUCCUCACUCAAACCCUAGGACCCUGGAAGUGCCUAGUAGCCUAUCUGUCAAAGAAGCUGGACCCUGUGGCCAGCGGAUGACCCUCCUGCCUCUGGGCAAUAGCAGCUACGGCUGUACUGGUGAAAGAUGCUGAUAAACUAACUAUGGGCCAGAAUGUGACUAUGGUGGCCCCGCACUCCCUUGAGAGCAUCAUUCAGCAGCCACCAGACCGCUGGAUGACUAAUGCUGAGAUGACCCACUACCAGAGCUUGUUAUUGACUGAUCAAGUGACUUUCGCUCCACUUGCCACUCUUAAUCCUGCCACCCUACUGCCUGAAGCUGACGAGACCCCCGUACAUCAGUGUGAGGAGAUACUGGCGGAGGAAACUGGGACUCAGCCAGACCUAGCCAAUCGACCUUGGCCUGAAACGGUAGCCUGGCUCACCAAUGGAAGCAGUUUCAUGGUAGAGGCCCAGCUGAAGGUUCUUGAAGUCAUGAGGAAAGAAACCUGGGAGCAGUUGAAAGAAACCUACGCUGCUGGUGACUUACAGGUUCCACAUCAGUUUGAAGUGGGAGACACGAUCCUGGUGAGGAGGCACCGAGUGGGGAACCUCAAGCCUCGGUGGAAAGGACCCUACCUGGUACUAUUGACUACACCCACUGCACUUAAAGUAGAAGGAGUCCCCUCUUGGGUUCAUGCCUCACACGUCAAGAGGGCUCCCCCUGAGACUGAUCGUGAUGAGUGAACUCUGGAAAAGACUAAUAACCCUCUUAAGUUGCACUUGCAUUACAAGAGCGACUCAGAACAGAGACUUCAACCCUCAUACUCCAAUUCAACAAACUUGGGAAGUGCUUAAUGUGGAGGGGGACAUUGUAUGGUCGACCACUGCAGUUCAACCCCUGUGGACCUGGUGGCCUGACCUCACACCUGAUAUUUGUAAGUUAGUAGCAGAGUCACUUACCUGGGACCUCCCUGACCAUACCAACCUUCAUAAACCACCACCUGAUAAACAGUGUGUCCCAAGCGGGAUAGGGAGCACGUUUGGAUGCUCGGGACAGUUCUACCUAGAGCCAAUCUUCGGUCUGCAGAAUUUUAUGUUUGCCCUGGCCAAAGCCAACCACGAAAGCUUCGGCAUCAGUGUAGAGGGGCACCGGACUUUUACUGUGCUGAGAUAGUUCUGAAUACCUUGAAAGCCGGUGUGCCUGGUUCAACAGCCCUAAUGGACCUUGUAAAGAUAAUUGUUGCAACCCCAUACGUAUAAAGUUUACUGACCAGGGGAAACGAGAACGACAGAGCUGGCUUAAGGGAAACAAUUGAGGUUUGCGAUUGGACGCAGUAGGGAAAGACUCUGGAUUAGUUUUCAAAAUCAAAUUGACUGUAGAGAGUAUCCAUCCCCAGUGCCCAUAGAACCUAAUAAGGUCCUUCCGGAACAGGGCCUCCCUGCCAAACCCAAACCCCCGGCUCUGAUAGUUGAGAACCCCCUCAAGGUUGUAACCCCCCAAGACCCCCCCGACCACAAUCCCCUCAGAUCCCUUCACAGGACAGAGACUGUUCAACCUGAUUAGAGGAGCCUUUUAUGCCCUUAACAGCAAGGAUCCAGAUGCUACUACUGACUGCUGGCUAUGCCUAUCCUCAGGCCCUCCCUACUAUGAAGGGAUUGCCUUUAAUGGGGAUUUUAAUAAAACCAGUAGUCAUGCCUCCUGCUCGUGGGGAACAGGAAAGAAAUUAACCCUGACUGAAGUGUCAGGGAGGAGCCCUGGUCUCUGCAUAGGGAUACCUCCCCCUUCCCACCAACACUAUGUGGUCGGACUCAUCCUGUGUCCAAGACAAAUACCAACUAUUACCUUGUGCCAUAUCCAGUCAGUUGGUGGUCCUGUAACACAGAGCCACCCCAUGCGUAUCAACUAGUGUUUUUGACCCCUCUCGUAAUUUCUGUGUUACAAUUAAGCUCCUACCUCACAUGUAUUAUUAUCCUGCUUCCCGCCUAGAAGAUGAGUAUACCAAUAAGAGAUUGAAAAGAGAACCAGUCUCCCUUACCCUAGCUAUGUUGAUGGGGGUCGGUCUUACGGUAGGAGUAGGAAUGGGCGUAACAGCCUUGAUUGAGGGUAGACAAGGAAUCCAAUCUUUAAGAGAAGCUAUAAAUGAAGAUUUAAGCAUGCUAGAAAAAUCUAUCGAUGCAUUAGAGAAAUCCUUGACCUCCCUAUCGGAAGUAGUAUUACAAAACAGAAGAGGUUUAGAUUUAUUGUUUUUAAAAGAAGGUGGACUAUGUGCAACCUUAAAAGAAGAAUGCUGCUUCUACACAGACCACACGGGAAUAUCAGAGAUUCUAUGCAGAAAUUGAGGGAAAGACUGGAAAGGAGAAAGCGAGAUCGAGAAGCUCAACAGGGAUGGUUCGAGUCGUGGUACUCUUAAAUCUCCACAAAUAACCACUUUACUUUCCGCUUUAGCCGGACCAAUUCUUACUAUAUGUUUGGGUUUUGAUCUUUGGACCCUGCUUAAUAAAUAAGGGAAUUGCUUUUGUUAAGAGUAGAGUGAAUGCAGUGCAGCUUAUGGUUCUCCAACACCAAUAUCAACCUAUAGUGAAGAUAGAAGAAGAAUAUGAUUUCUACCCCCACAUGAGGAUACAGACCUUUGAAAUUCUAAGAUUAGAAUUAUUUAGUAAAAGAAGAAGGGAAUGAAAGAAAGAAAAUUAAAUUCAAGGCCCAUGAUUCAUACGGCUCAUGAUGACUAGUCAGAAGGUUUACAGACCUAAGGCAGAGAGCAUAGCAGAACAGGCCCGGGCAUGACCAGACAGGCCAGCACAAAGGCUGUUAAGUCAUUCCAGGAACUGACUGGCCAUAAACAUAAGAGAGGCAUGCAAGGACAAUCUCCAGACAAGCCCAGUUAAGUAAUGGGCCACCUGGUCUGGUCUCCUUCUGAUAUAGUUUGAGUUUAACCAGAUGCUCUGCCCAUAAAGAUAAGCACCCUCCCUUUAGAGUUGCUGUUAUCCCGACCCGCAUGUACUGCUUGCUGGUGUUUAAACUGUCCAAUUGUGUGUAACCGCGCCAAUUUCCCCUAUCCCCCGACUUUUUUUCUAUAUAAACCCCUAAUUUUUGAGCCUCGGGGUCAAUUCCUCUGUCUCUUGUGUGAGACACAUGUCGGCCUGGAGCUCCGUCAUUAAACUACCUCAUGUGUUUGCAUCAA